ACAACUCUUGAACCGUAGGUCUACUGAGGAAUAUCACACUCUCGGUAGAAGAUCUUCCCUUUGUCAU
rnacentral:pre_miRNA from 1 species